rnacentral:lncRNA from 1 species
GGGUUUCAUAUUUAUGUUUUUGGCACGUCAAGCAAUUCUGCACAAAUAUCCGGACAUCCUUCUUCAUGUGAGGCCAAUAAUGAUAAGCUGCAAGCCUGCAAUUUUCUUUAAGGUUUGAGAAAACCACCAUGUCCUGCUAAUGGUGUGGAAUGUGCUUCAUGGAGUAUUACUUCACGAAUAGUUGGGUUAUAGGGGAUGACCAUCCGUCCUUUGUAAAGGAGAGUUUGACCGACCAACAAGUAAUCUUACUCUUUUGUGGAUCAAACUCCUCAUCGAUCUCUGUAACAUCCAGGCAAAUAAGGCAUGGCAAAAGUGAGUAACUCAGCAGAAUGAGGUCUUCUUGAUAAUGCGUCGGCACCUCGAUUCUCUUUACUGGGCACGGUGGAUAAUAGAAAAGUCAUAGGGCAUCAGUUUUAACAGCAGGGCUGUGGUUCAGUGGUUGUGACUCUCUGUUCCAGCAAGAAUUUAAGAGUUUUGUGGUCAGUCUUUAUAAAAAAAAUGUUGACCCGGUAGAUGGUGAUUCCACGUUUGAUUUGCUAAAACGAGUGCCAUAUGCGGAUUUAAACCGGUUGGAAGGUGAGAACCUCUUGCUAAAGUAAGCAACUGGAUGAUCCUCCUGAAUCAGAAAAACGCCUAGACCUCCUGAUCGACAUGUACCCCUUCUACAGUGAUCAUGCCCCAAAAGUAGAACUUUAGCUUGACCGAAGCAGCAUUUUGGAUAAUUUGGCAAAGAUGUUUGGAUAGUAACUCCAAAGCUGUUUGCAAGUGAGUAACAUGUUGCUCCAUAUCUGAGCUAUUAAUCAAAAUGUCAUCCAAAAACACCGGCACAAAGACGCAAAUACGGUCGAAAAAGAUCAUUCAUAGCUGUCUGAAAAGUGGAGGAGGCAUAUUAGUAAGACCAAAUAAAGGGCAAUACCGUAAACUCGUAGUGUCCAGAUCCAGAAUGAGUCCUGAAAGCAGUCUUCUCAAUAUCGAAAGGGUUUACACGGAUUUGAUAGUACCCCACACGUAGAUCUAACUUAGUAAAUACCGUGGCUCCAUAUAAAUCAUCCAGCAACCAUAAGCUUAUUUAGAGCACGAUAAGCAAUGCAACGUGUUAUCUUUUUUCUUAACUAUAAGUACUGGGCUAGAAAAGGGGCUGGUGAUUGGCUGAAUGAACCCAGCCCAUAGCAAUAUUUCCACUUGCCUCUUGAUUUCAGUUUUUUGGGAAAACGGGCAUCUAUGUGGUCUGAUGUUGGGUGGUAAAGAAUUGGCUAAAGAGGAAUAACAUGAAAAUGAGAAAAAAAUGAAGAAGUUUGGUUGGUUGUUCUUGAAAUACUUGGUCAAACUUUUGGAUAAGAGGCUGCAAGGCAAUUGCUAUUUCUUGUUUCUGUUAUGUCUCAAUGCUAAGGUGCUGAAAAGCAGCUGAUUUUUGAGGGCCAGAAGCCACCCCUAGUAAAUUUGUAUUUUUUACCAUCCACAGUGAAGAUACUAAACAAGUCCUUCCAAUUAGCUUGGACGGUGUUUAAUGUAGCUAACCAUUGGAUACCCAGGACCAAAUCAGGGGGACAAUCUCAAGAUCGAAUAUUUAUAACGAGAGUUUUCCUUUGCGUGCACAUUUACAGUUUUGCUGCCUUUCAACUUUCAACCCUCAAGAUGGAUGUUUAUAUCGGAUGGUCCUGAUGAUCAUUUUGCUGGUCAACCAAACCGCCUUCCCAUUUAUGGACCUCGUUUAUGUCGGCUGCAACCACAAACCAUCCUAAAAAUUGGAUGAAUGAAAGAUAUUCUGUAACAAUGUAUAUAUUAAAUACUUAUAUAUGUAAUAAAUUGCUUCUGAUAAUACAACGUUAAACAUGAACCGGGUUAAAAAUGUAUGCGUUGAUUAUUAU